CUCGCUUUCCUCCAGCCGCGAGACCCCCUCCCCUUCCGCCUCGCGGCGCUUCCUCGCGCCGCGGUCUUCUCUCGCCACCCCCGACACCGCGGGGCUCCCCCCGCCCGCCAACAGCGGGCCCCGGCUGCCCGAUCCCCCUCGCUUCCCGCGCUCUCCAGCGGGGCCCCAGCCCCGGCCCCCUCUCUCCCUCCCUUCUCUCUAAUUCCCCUUCCGGACGCUGCCAUCAUGUUGAAGCCUCAGCCGCCACAACAGCCCUCCCAGCCCCAGCAGCCGCCCCCCACGCAACAGGCCGUGGCCCGUCGGCCCCCCGGGGGCACCAGCCCUCCCAACGGCGGCCUCCCGGGGCCGCUGGCCACCUCUGCGGCUCCUCCCGGGCCUCCAGCGGCCGCCUCCCCCUGCCUGGGGCCUGUGGCCGCUGCCGGGAGCGGGCUCCGCCGGGGAGCCGAAGGCAUCUUGGCGCCGCAGCCGCCGCCGCCGCAGCAGCACCAGGAGAGGCCGGGGGCAGCCGCCAUCGGCAGCGCCAGGGGACAGAGCACAGGAAAGGGACCCCCACAGUCACCUGUGUUUGAAGGCGUCUACAACAAUUCCAGAAUGCUGCAUUUCCUUACAGCUGUUGUGGGCUCCACUUGUGAUGUAAAGGUGAAAAAUGGUACCACUUAUGAGGGUAUCUUCAAGACGCUAAGCUCAAAGUUUGAACUAGCCGUGGAUGCUGUGCACCGGAAAGCAUCUGAGCCAGCAGGUGGCCCUCGUCGGGAGGACAUUGUGGACACCAUGGUGUUUAAGCCAAGUGAUGUCAUGCUUGUUCACUUCCGAAAUGUUGACUUCAACUACGCUACUAAAGACAAGUUCACCGAUUCAGCCAUUGCCAUGAGCUCGAAAGUGAAUGGGGAACACAAAGAGAAGGUGCUUCAGCGCUGGGAGGGGGGUGACAGCAACAGCGACGACUAUGACCUCGAGUCUGACAUGUCCAAUGGAUGGGACCCCAAUGAAAUGUUCAAGUUCAAUGAGGAGAACUACGGUGUGAAGACUACCUAUGAUAGCAGUCUUUCUUCUUAUACGGUGCCCUUAGAAAAGGACAACUCAGAAGAGUUUCGUCAGCGAGAGCUGCGUGCGGCCCAGUUGGCUCGAGAGAUUGAAUCAAGCCCCCAGUACCGCCUACGGAUCGCCAUGGAGAACGACGAUGGGCGCACUGAAGAGGAGAAGCACAGUGCAGUCCAGCGGCAGGGCUCAGGGCGGGAGAGCCCCAGCUUGGCAUCCAGGGAGGGGAAGUAUAUCCCUCUGCCUCAACGAGUCCGGGAAGGUCCCCGGGGAGGAGUUCGAUGCAGCAGCUCUCGGGGCGGUCGGCCUGGCCUUAGCUCUUUGCCACCUCGUGGCCCUCACCAUCUGGACAACAGCAGCCCUGGCCCAGGUUCUGAGGCCCGUGGUAUCAAUGGAGGCCCUUCCCGCAUGUCCCCAAAGGCACAGCGGCCUCUGAGAGGUGCCAAGACUCUGUCUUCGCCCAGUAAUAGGCCUUCUGGAGAAACUUCUGUUCCUCCUCCUCCUGCAGUGGGCCGGAUGUAUCCCCCGCGUUCUCCCAAGUCUGCUGCCCCUGCCCCAAUCUCAGCUUCCUGUCCAGAGCCUCCCAUCGGCUCGGCAGUGCCAACCUCUUCAGCCUCCAUCCCUGUGACCUCAUCAGUCUCAGAUCCUGGAGUGGGCUCCAUUUCUCCAGCUUCUCCAAAGAUCUCCCUGGCCCCCACAGAUGUAAAAGAACUCUCUACCAAGGAACCUGGGAGAACUCUGGAGCCCCAGGAGCUGGCUCGGAUAGCUGGGAAAGUCCCUGGUCUUCAGAAUGAACAGAAACGAUUCCAACUGGAAGAACUGAGAAAGUUUGGGGCCCAGUUUAAGCUUCAGCCCAGUAGCUCCCCUGAGAACAGCCUGGAUCCUUUUCCUCCCCGGAUCUUAAAGGAGGAGCCCAAAGGAAAGGAGAAGGAGGUUGAUGGUCUGUUGACUUCAGAGCCCAUGGGGUCUCCCGUCUCCUCCAAGACAGAGUCCGUAUCGGAUAAGGAGGACAAACCACCUCUGGCACCAUCAGGAGGCACUGAGGGGCCAGAGCAGCCCCCACCACCUUGUCCAAGCCAAACUGGCAGCCCCCCGGUGGGCCUCAUCAAGGGAGAAGACAAAGAUGAGGGCCCUGUUGCUGAACAAGUAAAGAAAUCAACGUUGAACCCUAAUGCUAAGGAGUUCAAUCCUACAAAGCCUCUGCUGUCUGUGAAUAAAUCCACCAGUACCCCAACUUCUCCGGGACCCCGGACUCAUUCAACUCCCUCCAUCCCGGUGCUGACAGCAGGCCAGAGUGGGCUAUACAGCCCCCAGUACAUCUCCUACAUACCUCAGAUCCACAUGGGACCAGCUGUGCAGGCACCUCAGAUGUAUCCAUAUCCUGUAUCCAAUUCAGUGCCUGGGCAGCAGGGCAAGUACCGGGGAGCAAAAGGCUCCCUUCCUCCGCAGCGCUCGGACCAACACCAGCCAGCCUCAGCCCCGCCGAUGAUGCAGGCCGCCGCGGCUGCUGGCCCGCCUCUGGUGGCUGCCACGCCCUAUUCUUCCUACAUCCCCUACAACCCUCAGCAGUUCCCAGGCCAGCCGGCCAUGAUGCAGCCCAUGGCCCACUACCCCUCACAGCCGGUGUUUGCCCCCAUGCUUCAGAGCAACCCACGCAUGCUGACGUCGGGCAGCCAUCCCCAGGCCAUCGUGUCAUCCUCUACCCCUCAGUACCCUUCUGCAGAGCAGCCUACCCCCCAAGCCCUUUAUGCCACUGUUCACCAGUCCUACCCACACCAUGCCACACAGCUCCAUGCCCACCAGCCGCAGCCAGCUACCACGCCUACUGGAAGCCAGCCGCAGUCCCAGCAUGCGGCCCCCAGUCCUGUCCAGGUGCCUGCCAUGGGGGGUGCUGAGUGGUCCUGGUGCAGGAAUGGGUGGCCGGAAGAGGGGAUAGAGCUAGGGGUCAUUUCUGAGUGGCGAGGACUGGGGGCCAGCGAGUUGCUGGCCUGCGUGGCACUCAACCUUCCCCUCCCCAACAGCAUCAGGCGGGGCAGGCCCCACACUUGGGCAGUGGACAGCCACAGCAGAAUCUGUACCACCCAGGGGCCCUGACAGGCACGCCGCCCUCUCUGCCACCGGGACCUUCUGCCCAGUCCCCUCAGAGCAGCUUCCCCCAGCCAGCCGCUGUGUAUGCCAUCCACCACCAGCAGCUGCCCCACGGCUUCACCAACAUGGCCCAUGUUACCCAGGCCCAUGUCCAAACUGGAAUCACAGCAGCCCCGCCCCCUCACCCUGGGGCUCCCCACCCGCCCCAGGUGAUGCUGCUGCACCCACCCCAGAGUCAUGGGGGGCCCCCCCAAGGCGCGGUGCCCCAGAGUGGGGUGCCUGCACUCUCAGCUUCCACACCCUCACCCUACCCCUACAUCGGACACCCCCAAGGUGAGCAGCCUGGCCAGGCGCCUGGAUUUCCAGGAGGAGCCGAUGACAGGAUUCGUGAGUUCUCAUUAGCUGGGGGAAUUUGGCAUGGAAGAGCUGAGGGGCUGCAGGUGGGGCAGGAUGCACGGGUUCUGGGUGGGGAGUGAGGGGUCUUGGAGGCAGGGCUGUCCCACAGGGCGCCCGCCGACCUGCACCUGUCUGUGAAGUAUGUAGGGUGGGCAGAAGCCACAGUCGCCGCCGCCAGGGGCUUGCUCCUGGCUCUGUCCUUUGCUUCCCUCCGUCCUCGCUCAGUUGUGAUCCAGCAGCCCCCCUCCCCACUGCCUCCCCAGCUCUCAGUGACCCCGACUGUCUCCUGACUUAGCCGAGGUAAGGUCAGUGCAGCAGACAGGGCCAGACUGGGGUGUGGGGGGCUGAGCUGGGCACAUGAGUGAGGGCUCUGGCUUACUGGGAAACAGCGAUUGACCUGUGCUUCUGACAGCCCCCGAGACACCUUGAGGAGGCCGCUCCUUCCCAGACACACCCCCACGCCCCCACUGGACGGCAUUGGAGGAAGGGACAGCUGCUUGGGUUCUAAUGCUCCUGCUCUCUUCUCUUUCCCCUCCAACCAGUUCAAUCUCAUCCCUCCCAGCAGCUCCCCUUCCACCCCCCGGGGAACUGAAGAUUGUCCUGGCCGCGACCUGAGACCUCCAUGAGUGGAGGGAAGAGUGAUCUAUGUCUCUUCCCCCAGCAGCUCGGACCACUCCCAGCCCCCCAUCCCCCCAUUCCCCAGGGGAGCUGGGGAAUUCCUGCCAAGCACCUUGAAUGGGAGGGGCCUCAUAGAGGGCAGGGCCAGGGUCCAGCAGGGGUGGGGGGUUCCUGCUCUGCCCCUGCCCAUCCCCACCCAGUCUUGCCCUCCCAUCCUCUCAUCUAUUCCCCCGCUGGAGACGGAAGAUCUUUUAUUUUCUAUUAUUUAUAACUUCAGACUUGGGCCCCCUGUUCUUUCUUUCCCAUUAACUUGAGUGACCUGUGUGAGAGACAGACAGAUGCCCCACGAGGAUGGCUGGACAAGGACUUUUACUUUUUAUUACAUAAAAAUAUUAAAAAAUAAAUAAAAAAAUAAAAUUUUAAACUAACUUAA
rnacentral:sRNA from 1 species